rnacentral:rRNA from 1 species
GAAUGAGUCAUCAACUCAUCCCGUGUGGCAUACAGGAGGCAUAUAUGUCUGGCAUAUGAGUGACUCGAGUCUAAAGCGGGAACCUAAAUUGGCCUCCGCUACGAUAGUCCCUGACGCCUCGCCAGAAUUCGGAUCACAUGUCAACAUGCAUCCCUUGCUCUAGUGUUAGUGCACUGAAAGGCACAGAAGAGGAACUAGAAGAGGGUCGCUGGAUGAGUGUCUGGUAUGCCUGCCUCAUGGUUGGCCUUGCUUGUGGAGAAGAUUCCAAGCAAGAGAAGGCCAGCUUGAUGAGCAGAGCUAAGCUAUUCUCUUCUGUUGUUGUUGGUGUU